GAUGAACGCUGGCGGCGUGCCUAAUACAUGCAAGUCGAGCGAACAGACGAGGAGCUUGCUCCUUUGACGUUAGCGGCGGACGGGUGAGUAACACGUGGGUAACCUACCUAUAAGACUGGGAUAACUUCGGGAAACCGGAGCUAAUACCGGAUAAUAUUUCGAACCGCAUGGUUCGAUAGUGAAAGAUGGCUUUGCUAUCACUUAUAGAUGGACCUGCGCCGUAUUAGCUAGUUGGUAAGGUAACGGCUUACCAAGGCAACGAUACGUAGCCGAACUGAGAGGGUGAUCGGCCACACUGGAACUGAGACACGGUCCAGACUCCUACGGGAGGCAGCAGUAGGGAAUCUUCCGCAAUGGGCGAAAGCCUGACGGAGCAACGUCGCGUGAGUGAUGAAGGUCUUCGGAUCGUAAAACUCUGUUAUUAGGGAAGAACAAACGUGUAAGUAACUGUGCACGUCUUGACGGUACCUAAUCAGAAAGCCACGGCUAACUACGUGCCAGCCGCCGCCGUAA
rnacentral:rRNA from 1 species